GAUGAACGCUGGCGGCGUGCCUAAUACAUGCAAGUUGUGCGGUAACAGAGAGAGCUUGCUCUCUGCUGACGAGCGGCGGACGGCAGAGUAACGCGUAGGAACAUACCCCAAACUGAGGGAUAACUGCUCGAAAGAGUAGCUAAUACCGCAUGUGGUCUUCGGAUUAAAGCUUCGGCGGUUUGGGAUGGCCUGCGUCCGAUUAGCUAGUUGGUGAGGUAAUUGCUCACCAAGGCGACGAUCGGUAGCUGGUCUGAGAGGAUGAUCAGCCUGACUGGAACUGAGAACGGUCCAGACUCCUACGGAGGCAGCAGUAGGGAAUUUUCCACAAUGGGCGAAGCCUGAUGGAGCAACGCCGCGUGCAGGAUGAAUGCCUUCGGUUGUAAACUGCUUUCUGUGUGAAGAAUAUGACGGUAACACAGGAAUAAGGGU
rnacentral:rRNA from 1 species